rnacentral:rRNA from 1 species
GACGUAGGGCGCGAGCGUUGUCCGGAUUUAUUGGGCGUAAAGAGCUCGUAGGCGGCUUGUUGCGUCGGCUGUGAAAACCCAUGGCUCAACCGUGGGCUUGCAGCCGAUACGGGCAGGCUAGAGUUCGGUAGGGGAGACUGGAAUUCCUGGUGUAGCGGUGAAAUGCGUAGAGAUCGGCAGGAACACCCAGGGGGAAACCAGUCGACUGGGCAUCUACUGACGCUGAGGUGCGAGAGCGUGGGGAGCGAACCGG